rnacentral:lncRNA from 1 species
UGUAGCAUAAUUCAUGCAAGGAAUUUGAGAAUAUUAUUAGUUAUUAUGUGCAUGAUUGCAGGAAAUAAUUAGGAUGUGAUAUUUAUUGUUUUGAUCAAAAUUGAAAUAUUUUACUGAUAUGUAGUGUGUAGUGGUUUUAUGUUGCAGGCACUUUUUUUUUCAUCCCAUAUAUAUAUCUGAAUAUGGUUUUGGGAAAUGAAUUGGUGAGGAAGGCAUUGAAUUUGAAGAUAUGUGUUUGAGUUUUUCAUUUUUUUUCUUGUAUUUUUUUCUUUGAUCAAAUGUGUUUUUCUCUGGUGUAGAAAUAGGAUUAUGUGUUUUUUCUUGUUCUUCCCUAGCAAGUGAUUAGUACGUGUAGCAUGAUUUAUUAUAUUAAUUUAAUAUUUAAAAAAAUUAUUGUAUGAAAAAAAUCU